UCCCUGGUGGCCUAGCAGUUAAGGAUUAGGCAUUGUCAUUGCUAUGGCUCGGGUUCGAUCCCUGGCCUGGGAA
rnacentral:tRNA from 1 species